GAGCCAAUGGGAGGCGCUCAUACAACCUUCGGGCCAAUGGGACCUCUGCUCUUAUCGCCAAGUCCCUUCCUUCAACGCCCUGUUUCCUCUCUCGGGUUUCCUCCCUCCUCCGCUAAGGAGGUGGGGGAAGGAGGAGAGGGGGAGUGUGGUGGGGCGGGUGAUAAUGGGGAGGUAUCAGGGCAUAUAAUAGAGCGGGGGGUGGAUGAAGAGAGCGCUAGUGCGUAGCGACGAUUCUAGGAGAGGAGGUGCUCGGAGGAAAGGGCGGGGGCUGCUGAUGUAAUGGGGAGAAGUGAUUAAGCCUUCGGUUCGCCGUUUCAACCUCUCCCCGCCCCCCUCCCCAUCCGAUUUUUUAAGCGGAAAAGAAAAGUAGAGCGAGAUCUCACAAACUCAGAGGAAAAGAAAAGCCCCAAGGGGAAUUAUCUUUUGUGUCUGUAUCUGGUCCCCUCGAGGUAAUCGCUCUCCAGGGAAAACGUGUUUUUAUUCCCUCGCUGCUGUUGUGAUGACUGAAAAAGUAUCCUUUCUCGGUUCUUUCUCUCUCUUUUGUUUAUCACCUUGUGGAAAUGGUAAAACUGGCAGUUUACCUGAUUCUCUGAUUUUCGAUCUUCAGGUGAUUUCUUUCUCAUUUCAGCUUGACCAGGUGCUCUGUCUUAGGUUUGAGGUGGAUGACUAAGUGGUUACAAAGUACCAUAAGAGAAGUAGGGGUAAGAGCGGGGAAGUGUGUGUUUUAGGAGGGGAGAGAGGAACAGUGAGAACCACUGUGGUGUCGGGUGUUUGAGUCUAUGACUUGAUGUAUGCCUCUGGGCAAAAUACUUUACGUUUCUAGCUUUCAGGGUUCCCUCCCUUUAAAUAAGAAUUUACUUUGGAUUACAUAAUACUGUUUUUAAUUUUAAAACAUUUUUUAAUUUUGGGAUGAGCUCUCUUUGGUCCUGACAAUGGAGAAACUUAGAUCUAAGUUUCCUUCUCAAGAAAAAAAUCGAGGAGGGAGGCUUACAAUGAAGAACUGCAAAUGUUUAUGGUGGUUAGCAAGGUACAAAUGGGUACAAUUUUAGAUUUGGUUCAAAUAAAUGUAGCAGGAAAAAAGGAAAAUUACACGCUAUUGUACAUAUUAUAAGUGGACCAUAACUCUUUAUUUUUUCUAAAAAUUUACUUUUUUUCCAGCAUGCAUUUAUUGGUUCCUUCUGUGUAUGUAUUGCUAUGUAAGGUGCUAUGGGAGAUAGCAAAAAAUAAAAUAAAUUGCAAAAUAUGGGGCAUAGUUUGUAUUUUUUAAUGGUAGUUGAUUUAGUUAAUUCAGAUGUACAGAGAAAACAUAGCUUAUUCUCUGUAGCUUAUCCUUGAGUCCCCACAUUAUCCCUUUUCUUUUAUAGGUAAGUACUGAGUCUUACAGAUUUCCCCACUUCCCUAUCAGCCAAGAUAUACAUGGGAGUUGAGGGAUUCUGUGUAAACUGUACAUAGACGGAAUGUCACAUUUAUGAUAUCCUAGAUUUCCAAGUUGUAAUAAACUUGGAAUGAUAGUUCUCCGGCAUGUGGCAGUAAGAUGCCUCAUUUUAACAAAACCAGUAUAUUAUGAUAAUUUUCUGAUAGGUAGAAGUAAAAUGCCUUGAUAGUGCCUUUUUCUAAUUCACACAGUAACUAGUGGGCUGGUAGAAGCCUGUGGGAUGGGAAGGUCAGCGGGGCAUCAGGGAAAAGCCCUGAGCCACGUGUGCUCCUUGUGUGGUCCUUUACUUGUGGAGUGUCUGGUAUAGUCCGAAAGCAGAACUGCUAGCCUCAGAGAUAAAACUGCUCCUUCUGUCCUUUCAAGAAGUUGUGCUGCUUCCACACUGAACCAUUUGCCUUAUACACUGCAACCUCUGUCCUGACCCCAGGCCUCCGCAGGUCCACUGAUUCCCACGAUGCCAUUCCAUCUUCUCACUGAAACAUGUUGGAACUUCUGGUUUCCCAGAAUAUCCCAUGUAGGUCUUGAUGAACCAGGAACUUUGCUUCAAGCUCAUCUACUGAGCCACCUCCUUCACCGAUGUUGCAUUUUUCUCCCUAUGUCAUGUGGAACAUGCCAUUAAGCUGAAAGCAGAGAUCCUAGAGGACUCAGCCUCUCACAGGCAUGCCCAGAGAAGCAAACCAUUAUCCCCAUUUUUCUUGGAUUUCCCCGUAUCUCUGUGAAUAUUUCAACUAUAUACUUCCAACUCUAGUUUCCACACUGAGAAGGGACAGGAAGUAAGCACACUGAGUCUGAUUACCUCAUUCUGUCCCCCUUUCUUCUUUCCAUGAUCUCUUAGGGCUAUAAGAGAUGGAUUUUUCUAACACAACAUUGUAAAAUAUGUAUUUUAAUAAAGUUUUUAAAAAGAGA